UAUUUAAUUAUUCAGCGUAGGUAAAAUUAAUGAAAAUAUUACAAUAUAAGGUACUUUAUAAAAACAAAGUAAUAUUGUAAUAUUUUCUUCGUGUAGAAUUGUUUUUUUUUUUUAUCAACCCCCAUUUUGAAACUCACAAGAAGGCACGCGCUUUUCAUUUCAUCUUCUUCGUUUGGCGUCUGCAUUCACCAGCUACAAAUCUAAUUGUGUGAAAACCAAGAUAAUAUUCUACUUUGUCGGGCGUUUACCAGCAAUAACUGCUACAUAUACAUAAAUUUACAUCAGCAAGACCAGGCAUAAUUAAAAAUUCCAAGAAAAUUACAAAAAUCGGCUUAACAUUUGGAAAACUACAAAUUUAAACAAUCAUCGGCUAGACAUCUGAAAACCAGCUUCUACAAUCAUCAGCCAAACCAAACUAAUUUAUAUUUUAAGCAGAUAAAAACUGUUCCAAGAAAUAGUAAAAUUUUGACAAUCAUCGGCUACAUCUGAAAACCUACCAGCUAAUACAAUCAUCAGCCAGACCAAACUUUAUUAUAUUUUAAACAGAUAAAAAUAGUUCAACAGACAUCUGAAUACUACCAGCUACUACAAUCAUCGGCUACAUCUGAAAACCAACCAGCUACUACAAUCAUCAGCCAGACCAAACUAAAUUAUAUUUUAAACAUAUAAAAAUAGUGAGUAACACCUUUUUAAUAGAUAUACUAAAAUAAACUAUAUAUCACUAGAACUAGCCAUAAUUAAAUUUUAUAAAAAAAAGUAUUAUCCUUUUAUUUCGUGUUGGUAUCGUUUUAAAGCAAAAUUUAAAGUGAUAGAUCUGACUUUGUAUAGCUUGUUGUAAAACAUACAGAUAGAUAUAGGUAAUCAAACUAACAUUAAUUCUUCUUUUUAAAAGAUUCCAAAAUAUCAAAUCAUUAAAAAAAAAACCAAUUAAAACAAUUAUUAGCCAGAUCAGUCUUAAUCAUUUUCAGCAGAUAAAGGCACGAAGUUACAUCAGUUUGUUAGAAUUUUGUUUUGGUAUCGUUUUAAAGCAAAAUUGUUAACAUUAACUUUGACUUGAGUCAAUUUUGCAAUAGCUAGAUAAAACCCAGUUAAGGCUUAUUCCUGGGAAUAAGUUUUUCUAUAUUGACAUUUCUUCUUCUGAUAGUCUAACUAAUAACUAAUAACUGCUUAGAAUAGUUAACCUUUUAUCUUGGUAACGAAACUGAGUGCUACUUGAGCAAAACUUGUAACA